GGAGGAGUCUUCGAGGAGGGGCCGAGAAGGAGGAGGAGGAGGAGGAGGAGCGGGGGGCAAGGAGAAGGAAGACAGGAGUGAGUCCCUGCGGCCACCAGCGCUGCCACCGCUGCCGUAGCCACCGCGUACCUGGGCUCGGCGCCAGCCAGACGAGCCGGGAUCUCGCCCCGCACGGACGGAGGGACAGGCGGACGGAGCGGACGGAGCGCACAGGGCUGGGCCCCCGGGAAUUCUGGAGGCUACCAGGCACACUUUGACCAAAAUGCAUUUAUGGCCUUUGGAAAGAACACAGAAGACUGGGAUUAACAUAAGAUGGCUGAAGCCCUGGAUUUCAGCAGGCAAAUUCGAGGAGAGGAGGGGGCUUUGCUAAGGAGACUUAUGGCAGCAGACCCGAUAUGAUGACUGACAGGCUGCCCUGGCUCAGUUAUCACAGUGCUGAUGCUGUCC